CCUACGGGAGGCAGCAGUGAGGAAUAUUGCUCAAUGGACGCGAGCCUGAACCAGCCAAGUAGCGUGAAGGAUGACUGCCCUACGGGUUUUAAACUUCUUUGAUAAAGGAAUAAAGUGAGACACGUGUGCCUUUUUGCAUGUACUUUAUGAAUAAGGAUCGGCUAACUCAGUGCCAGCAGCCGCGGUAAUACGGAGGAUCCGAGCGUUAUCCGGAUUUAUUGGGUUUAAAGGGAGCGUAGAUGGGUUGUUAAGUCAGUUGUGAAAGUUUGCGGCUCAACCGGAAAAUUGCAAUUGAUACUGGCCAUCUUGAGUACAGUUGAGGUAGGUGGAAUUCGUAGUGUAGCGGUGAAAUGCUUAGAUAUCACGAAGAACUCCGAUUGCGAAGGCAGCUUACUGAACUGCCACUGACAUUGAUGCUCGAAAGUGUGGGUAUCAAACAGGAUUAGAUACCCUAGUAGUC
rnacentral:rRNA from 1 species